UACGAAGGGGCUAGCGUUGCUCGGAAUCACUGGGCGUAAAGGGUGCGUAGGCGGGUCUUUAAGUCAGGGGUGAAAUCCUGGAGCUCAACUCCAGAACUGCCUUUGAUACUGAAGAUCUUGAGUUCGGGAGAGGUGAGUGGAACUGCGAGUGUAGAGGUGAAAUUCGUAGAUAUUCGGCAAGAACACCAGUGGCGAAGGCGGCUCACUGGCCCGAUACUGACGCUGAGGCACGAAAGCGUGGGGAGCAAACAGG
rnacentral:rRNA from 1 species